CCCGGGGAUAACAGGCUUAUCUCCCCCAAGAGUUCACAUCGACGGGGAGGUUUGGCACCUCGAUGUCGGCUCAUCGCAUCCUGGGGCUGUAGUCGGUCCCAAGGGUUGGGCUGUUCGCCCAUUAAAGCGGUACGCGAGCUGGGUUCAGAACGUCGUGAGACAGUUCGGUCCCUAUCCGUCGUGGGCGUAGGAAAUUUGAGAGGAGCUGUCCUUAGUACGAGAGGACCGGGAUGGACAUACCUCUGGUGUACCAGUUGUCGUGCCAACGGCAUAGCUGGGUAGCUAUGUAUGGACGGGAUAAGUGCUGAAAGCAUCUAAGCAUGAAGCCCCCCUCAAGAUGAGAUUUCCCAACUUCGGUUAUAAGAUCCCUCGAAGAUGACGAGGUUAAUAGGUUCGAGGUGGAAGCGUGGUGACACGUGGAGCUGACGAAUACUAAUCGAUCGAAGACUUAAUCAAUUUUUAAA
rnacentral:rRNA from 1 species